GCGCCCGUAGCUCAAUCGGAUAGAGCGUUUGACUUCGGAUCAAAAGGUUGUGGGUUCGACCCCUGCCGGGCGCGCCA
rnacentral:tRNA from 1 species